rnacentral:rRNA from 1 species
GGCGAGUUUGAUCCUGGCUCAGGACGAACGCUGGCGGCGUGCCUAACACAUGCAAGUCGAACGAGGUCCAUGCGGUGGCAACACCGCGGAAGACCUAGUGGCGAACGGGUGAGUAACACGUGAGGAACCUGCCCCGGAGACCGGGAUAACCCUCCGAAAGGAGGGCUAAUACCGGAUACCUCCACUGAGUCGCAUGGCUCGGUGAAGAAAUGGAUUCCGCUCCGGGAGGGCCUCGCGGCCUAUCAGCUUGUUGGUGGGGUAACGGCCCACCAAGGCGUCGACGGGUAGCUGGUCUGAGAGGACGAUCAGCCACACUGGGACUGAGACACGGCCCAGACUCCUACGGGAGGCAGCAGUGGGGAAUCUUGCGCAAUGGGCGAAAGCCUGACGCAGCAACGCCGCGUGCGGGAUGAAGGCCCUCGGGUUGUAAACCGCUUUCAGUGGGGACGAACCAAGACGGUACCCACAGAGGAAGCCCCGGCCAACUACGUGCCAGCAGCCGCGGUAAUAA